GUAGGCUUCGCGUUCCACGUUAUUUUGAUCGAUAAUUUGUCAAUUUUUUUUUACGCGCGUAUUCAAAAUCCUACUCAUGGCUUCAAAUAUGUCCGUUGAAGAUCUGGCCCGUCUGGUGGAUCUCUCGAUCGGAGUUCCGGAUGGGAUCAUCAACUGCAACCAGCUGUACAAGCUGCUGCAUCUUCUGGCCGGCGGGGUCCACGACAUUCAGGAAGCCCUCGGAGCCAGCGAUGAAACGGUGGAUGACGCCGAUAAUCCACUGAAUGAACCCGAACAGCUGGAGCAAAUCUGCGACACUUUCCGGAGACAUUCCACGGCGUUGGAAAACCUGGAUGCGCAAAUGCAGGCGUUGGCCGAUCGUCUUACAAAGUGCUGCGAAGAACGUCAAACCGCGGAAGAACUGACAGAUCGGCUAGCUGCCACUGAGGAGCAGACGAAAGCAGCGAUCGCCGGAUUGGAGGAGCAGAUGAAGGCCAACCAGGAAGCGAUAGAUGAACGGCUGAAGCUACUGGAAGAAAUGCUUGCAAAUCUCCAACGAACGGUUGACGAAGUCAAGUCGAAAACCGAUGGGGUCGAUUUGGAACGCUUGCAUGAAAUGGAGACCAGCUCUCAGGCGCAAAAUGAGCUGGCCCAAGAUAUGGACGCAUUGAAGGCGCAAAUCGCGGAACUUCUGCGAGAACGCGACGAGAUGAACAAUAUCAUCAAGGAGCUUGUCAACGAAAAGGACGAAAUGAGCGCAAUGAUGACCAAAUUGUGCUCGGAAAAAGACCAACUGAACGCCAUGGUUGACAAACUGGCUGCCAAGGCCGGUCUUGCGGGAGCGAUCGAAUCAGCCGGCACAACUCAUCAAAUGAUCACGGAUUUGAGCUGUAUUGCGUGCGACACACCGGUCGUUCAGCGGGAUCGAGACGACUUGCCGGUGGCAACGCCCGGUAAGGGUAAACCCAAGAAGGUAGUCCGGAAGCUGCCGAAAAGUGAAGCCUUGACGCGGAUCAAAGCACGUCGAGCUGUCGGCGGGUCAUUCACGAUCACCAAACCGGAAGAACGCAUCCUUCGUCCGGUAGCGAUGAGCAAAGAUCCCUGCGCGUCGUCAACCACCUCAUCUAGUAGUCAUAGGGAUUAGGUGGUGAGCGGCGCUGACAGAUUGAUUUGUAUCGCAGACGAGCAAGAUGAGUGGCGUUCGCUUCUCGAAUGUUCCGGGGUCCAAGAAGCCGUCAAAAAAGAAAGGAAAUCUCAAGGAAACUAAUACUAGGGUUCUGCUGGACGGACCGAGCGUGGACAUACGAGCCGGAAGAUCCUGCGGUGGAAUGCACACCGUCGUACAGCCGGGAGAGAAGGUUUUCCGCAACCAGAAGCUUCUCC
rnacentral:lncRNA from 1 species